GCGGAGGUGGCGGAAUUGGUAUACGCGCUAGUUUCAGAUAUUAGUAUCUUUGUUUUAGAUGUAAGGGUUCGAAUCCCUUCCUUCGCA
rnacentral:tRNA from 1 species